GACGAACGCUGGCGGCGCGCCUAACACAUGCAAGUCGAACGAGCGAGAGAGAGCUUGCUUUCUCAAGCGAGUGGCGAACGGGUGAGUAACGCGUGAGGAACCUGCCUCAAAGAGGGGGACAACAGUUGGAAACGACUGCUAAUACCGCAUAAGCCCACGACCCGGCAUCGGGUAGAGGGAAAAGGAGCAAUCCGCUUUGAGAUGGCCUCGCGUCCGAUUAGCUAGUUGGUGAGGUAACGGCCCACCAAGGCGACGAUCGGUAGCCGGACUGAGAGGUUGAACGGCCACAUUGGGGCUGAGACACGGCCCAGACUCCUACGGGAGGCAGCAGUGGGGAAUAUUGCACAAUGGGGGGAACCCUGAUGCAGAGACGCCGCGUGGAGGAAGAAGGUCUUCGGAUUGUAAACUCCUGUUGUUGAGGAAGAUAAUGACGGUACUCAACAAGGAAGUGACGGCUAACUACGUG
rnacentral:rRNA from 1 species